AAAUAAAGAUGGAUGUGUUUUGUAAAUUUAGAAUGAGCAAUGGUUCUUCUCAGUUCUCACAAUAAGAUUACACAUCUUGCUUUAGCACUAGUUCAAACCAGCUCCCUAUGGAUGGCUCCUUAAGCACCUGGCUAGCAGGUAUCCAAGCUGGUAGCCACUACUUGGUAAUUGGCAUAAUCUGAUGAACUUCAAAAAAGAUGAAAACCUUUAGCAACAGAAAAUAGACAAGCAUCUAGUGGUUUGUUGUACUACAAGUCAUUCUUAUGUUACAUUUGUAGUCUAAUUUGUCAUGAUCUGUUUUUACUCCUAAUGCUAUUAGUCCA
rnacentral:misc_RNA from 1 species